AUUGAUCGCUGGCGGCAGGCCUAACGCAUGCAAGUCGAACGAGUGGCGGACGGGUGAGUAAUGUCUUGGAAACUGCCCGAUGGAGUGGGAUAGCUACUGUAAACGGUAGCUAAUACCGCAUACCAUCGGCUUUGCCCAGAUGGGAUUGGCUAGGAGGUGGGGUAACGGCUCACCGAGGCGACGAUCCCUAGCUGGUCUGAGAGGAUGACCAGCCACACUGGAACUGAGACACGGUCCAGACUCCGACGGGAGGCAGCAGUGGGGAAGAUUGCACAAUGGGCGCAAGCCUGAUGCAGCCAUGCCGCGUGUAUGAAGAAGGCCUUCGGGUUGUAAAGUACUUUCAGCGAGGAGGCGUUACUCGCAGAAGAAGCACCGGCUAACUCCGUGCCAGCAGCCGCGGUAAUUC
rnacentral:rRNA from 1 species